UGAGGAAUAUUGGGUCAAUGGACGAGAGUCUGAACCAGCCAAGUAGCGUGCAGGAUGACGGCCCUAUGGGUUGUAAACUGCUUUUAUAAGGGAAUAAAGUGAGUCUCGUGAGACUUUUUGCAUGUACCUUAUGAAUAAGGACCGGCUAAUUCCGUGCCAGCAGCCGCGGUAAUACGGAAGGUCCGGGCGUUAUCCGGAUUUAUUGGGUUUAAAGGGAGCGUAGGCCGGAGAUUAAGCGUGUUGUGAAAUGUAGAUGCUCAACAUCUGCACUGCAGCGCGAACUGGUUUCCUUGAGUACGCACAAAGUGGGCGGAAUUCGUGGUGUAGCGGUGAAAUGCUUAGAUAUCACGAAGAACUCCGAUUGCGAAGGCAG
rnacentral:rRNA from 1 species